AUUGAACGCUGGCGGCAGGCCUAACACAUGCAAGUCGAGCGGUAACAGAUUGAUAGCUUGCUAUCAAUGCUGACGAGCGGCGGACGGGUGAGUAAUGCCUGGGAAUAUACCCUGAUGUGGGGGAUAACUAUUGGAAACGAUAGCUAAUACCGCAUAAUCUCUUCGGAGCAAAGAGGGGGACCUUCGGGCCUCUCGCGUCAGGAUUAGCCCAGGUGGGAUUAGCUAGUUGGUGGGGUAAUGGCUCACCAAGGCGACGAUCCCUAGCUGGUCUGAGAGGAUGAUCAGCCACACUGGAACUGAGACACGGUCCAGACUCCUACGGGAGGCAGCAGUGGGGAAUAUUGCACAAUGGGGGAAACCCUGAUGCAGCCAUGCCGCGUGUAUGAAGAAGGCCUUCGGGUUGUAAAGUACUUUCAGUUGUGAGGAAGGAGUUGGAGUUAAUAGCUUUAGCGUUUGACGUUAGCAACAGAAGAAGCACCGGCUAACUCCGUG
rnacentral:rRNA from 1 species